rnacentral:rRNA from 1 species
UAUGAACCGUUAUAACCGGCGAUACCCGAAUGGGGAAACCCAGUGUGACUCGUCACACUAUCAUUAACUGAAUCCAUAGGUUAAUGAGGCGAACCGGGGGAACUGAAACAUCUAAGUACCCCGAGGAAAAGAAAUCAACCGAGAUUCCCCCAGUAGCGGCGAGCGAACGGGGAGGAGCCCAGAGCCUGAAUCAGCAUGUGUGUUAGUGGAAGCGUCUGGAAAGGCGCGCGAUACAGGGUGACAGCCCCGUACACAAAAGCGCAUGUGCUGUGAGCUCGAUGAGUAGGGCGGGACACGUGGUAUCCUGUCUGAAUAUGGGGGGACCAUCCUCCAAGGCUAAAUACUCCUGACUGACCGAUAGUGAACCAGUACCGUGAGGGAAAGGCGAAAAGAACCCCGGCGAGGGGAGUGAAAAAGAACCUGAAACCGUGUACGUACAAGCAGUGGGAGCCCCACCACCAAAGCAUUUGCUGUACCGCGUUGACGGAGCGAAGCGACGUCAAACCGAUAAAACAGCAGUGUAAAGUGAGCCGCAGGGCGCUUUGCGCGACAGCGCAAAGGCAGGCGGUUUCGCGUAGCGAAAGCGAAUGCUUUGGGGUGGGGUGACUGCGUACCUUUUGUAUAAUGGGUCAGCGACUUAUAUUCUGUAGCAAGGUUAACCGAAUAGGGGAGCCGGAGGGAAACCGAGUCUUAAUUGGGCGUUAAGUUGCAGGGUAUAGACCCGAAACCCGGUGAUCUAGCCAUGGGCAGGUUGAAGGUUGGGUAACACUAACUGGAGGACCGAACCGACUAAUGUUGAAAAAUUAGCGGAUGACCUGUGGCUGGGGGUGAAAGGCCAAUCAAACCGGGAGAUAGCUGGUUCUCCCCGAAAGCUAUUUAGGUAGCGCCUCGUGAAUUCAUCUCCGGGGGUAGAGCACUGUUUCGGCUAGGGGGCCAUCCCGGCUUACCAACCCGAUGCAAACUGCGAAUACCGGAGAAUGUUAUCACGGGAGACACACGGCGGGUGCUAACGUCCGUCGUGAAGAGGGAAACAACCCAGACCGCCAGCUAAGGUCCCAAAGUCAUGGUUAAGUGGGAAACGAUGUGGGAAGGCCCAGACAGCCAGGAUGUUGGCUUAGAAGCAGCCAUCAUUUAAAGAAAGCGUAAUAGCUCACUGGUCGAGUCGGCCUGCGCGGAAGAUGUAACGGGGCUAAACCAUGCACCGAAGCUGCGGCAGCGACACUGUGUGUUGUUGGGUA